UGCCCUACGGGAGGCAGCAGUGAGGAAUAUUGGUCAAUGGGAGAGAUCCUGAACCAGCCAAGCCGCGUGAGGGAAGACGGCCCUAUGGGUUGUAAACCUCUUUUGUCGGAGAACAAAACCCGGGACGAGUCCCGGACUGCGUGUAUCCGAAGAAAAAGCAUCGGCUAACUCCGUGCCAGCAGCCGCGGUAAUACGGAGGAUGCGAGCGUUAUCCGGAUUUAUUGGGUUUAAAGGGUGCGUAGGCGGUUCGAUAAGUUAGAGGUGAAAUCCCGGGGCUCAACUCCGGCACUGCCUCUGAUACUUUC
rnacentral:rRNA from 1 species